rnacentral:piRNA from 1 species
AAGUAUUACAUGCUUAUAUGCUAGG